UACGAAGGGGGCUAGCGUUGCUCGGAAUCACUGGGCGUAAAGCGCACGUAGGCGGGUCAUUAAGUCGGGGGUGAAAUCCUGGAGCUCAACUCCAGAACUGCCUUCGAUACUGGCGACCUUGAGUCCGGGAGAGGUGAGUGGAACUCCGAGUGUAGAGGUGAAAUUCGUAGAUAUUCGGAAGAACACCAGUGGCGAAGGCGACUCGCUGGACAAGUAUUGACGCUGAGGUGCGAAAGCGUGGGGAGCAAACAGG
rnacentral:rRNA from 1 species